UACGUAGGUGACCAGCGUUGUCCGGAUUUACUGGGCGUAAAGAGCGCGCAGGCGGUCGUUCAAGUCGAGUGUGAAAGCCCCCGGUUCAACUGGGGAGGGUCACUCGAUACUGAUCGACUUGAAGGCAGGAGAGGGAAGCGGAAUUCCCGGUGUAGUGGUGAAAUGCGUAGAUAUCUGGAGGAACACCGGUGGCGAAGGCGGCGUUCUGGACUGCAACUGACACUGAGGAACGAAAGCCAGGGGAGCAAACGGG
rnacentral:rRNA from 1 species